UGCGGGAUGGUGUAGCGGUAGCACGCGUGGCUCUGGACCACGUAGCCUAGGUUCGAAUCCUAGUCCCGCAGCCA
rnacentral:tRNA from 1 species